rnacentral:rRNA from 1 species
CCUACGGGAGGCAGCAGUGGGGAAUUUUGGACAAUGGGCGCAAGCCUGAUCCAGCAAUGCCGCGUGAGUGAAGAAGGCCUUCGGGUUGUAAAGCUCUUUUGUCAGGGAAGAAACGGUCUACUCUAAUACAGUGGGCUAAUGACGGUACCUGAAGAAUAAGCACCGGCUAACUACGUGCCAGCAGCCGCGGUAAUACGUAGGGUGCAAGCGUUAAUCGGAAUUACUGGGCGUAAAGCGUGCGCAGGCGGUUAUAUAAGUCAGAUGUGAAAUCCCCGGGCUCAACCUGGGAACUGCAUUUGAGACUGUAUGGCUAGAGUGUGUCAGAGGGGGGUAGAAUUCCACGUGUAGCAGUGAAAUGCGUAGAUAUGUGGAGGAAUACCGAUGGCGAAGGCAGCCCCCUGGGAUAACACUGACGCUCAUGCACGAAAGCGUGGGGAGCAAACAGGAUUAGAUACCCUGGUAGUCCACGCCCUAAACGAUGUCUACUGUUGUCGGACUUAAUUGUNUUGUACGCAGCUACGCGNGAGUAGACGCCGUCGGAGGUACGGUCGCGAGAGUAAACGUACGAAGAAGUAGUACGGCGUGAGACGUAGACGACGGACGACGACGAGGGAGGAGG